rnacentral:rRNA from 1 species
AGAGUUUGAUCCUGGCUCAGAUUGAACGCUUUUGGCAGGCCUAACACAUGCAAGUCGAACGGUAACAGGAAGAAGCUUGCUUCUUUGCUGACGAGUGGCGGACGGGUGAGUAAUGUCUGGGAAACUGCCUGAUGGAGGGGGAUAACUACUGGAAACGGUAGCUAAUACCGCAUAACGUCGCAAGACCAAAGAGGGGGACCUUCGGGCCUCUUGCCAUCGGAUGUGCCCAGAUGGGAUUAGCUUGUUGGUGGGGUAACGGCUCACCAAGGCGACGAUCCCUAGCUGGUCUGAGAGGAUGACCAGCCACACUGGAACUGAGACACGGUCCAGACUCCUACGGGAGGCAGCAGUGGGGAAUAUUGCACAAUGGGCGCAAGCCUGAUGCAGCCAUGCCGCGUGUAUGAAGAAGGCCUUCGGGUUGUAAAGUACUUUCAGCGGGGAGGAAGGGAGUAAAGUUAAUACCUUUGCUCAUUGACGUUACCCGCAGAAGAAGCACCGGCUAACUCCGUGCCAGCAGCCGCGGUAAUACGUAGGUCCCGAGCGUUGUCCGGAUUUAUUGGGCGUAAAGCGAGCGCAGGCGGUUUAAUAAGUCUGAAGUUAAAGGCAGUGGCUUAACCAUUGUUCGCUUUGGAAACUGUUAGACUUGAGUGCAGAAGGGGAGAGUGGAAUUCCAUGUGUAGCGGUGAAAUGCGUAGAUAUAUGGAGGAACACCGGUGGCGAAAGCGGCUCUCUGGUCUGUAACUGACGCUGAGGCUCGAAAGCGUGGGGAGCAAACAGGAUUAGAUACCCUGGUAGUCCACGCCGUAAACGAUGAGUGCUAGGUGUUAGGCCCUUUCCGGGGCUUAGUGCCGCAGCUAACGCAUUAAGCACUCCGCCUGGGGAGUACGACCGCAAGGUUGAAACUCAAAGGAAUUGACGGGGGCCCGCACAGGCGGUGGAGCAUGUGGUUUAAUUCGAAGCAACGCGAAGAACCUUACCAGGUCUUGACAUCCCGAUGCUAUUCCUAGAGAUAGGAAGUUUCUUCGGAACAUCGGUGACAGGUGGUGCAUGGUUGUCGUCAGCUCGUGUCGUGAGAUGUUGGGUUAAGUCCCGCAACGAGCGCAACCCCUAUUGUUAGUUGCCAUCAUUAAGUUGGGCACUCUAGCGAGACUGCCGGUAAUAAACCGGAGGAAGGUGGGGAUGACGUCAAAUCAUCAUGCCCCUUAUGACCUGGGCUACACACGUGCUACAAUGGUUGGUACAACGAGUCGCGAGUCGGUGACGGCAAGCAAAUCUCUUAAAGCCAAUCUCAGUUCGGAUUGUAGGCUGCAACUCGCCUACAUGAAGUCGGAAUCGCUAGUAAUCGCGGAUCAGCACGCCGCGGUGAAUACGUUCCCGGGCCUUGCACACACCGCCCGUCA